rnacentral:rRNA from 1 species
UACAGAGGUCCCAAGCGUUGUUCGGAUUCACUGGGCGUAAAGGGUGCGUAGGCGGUCGGGUAAGUCUGAUGUGAAAUCUCACAGCUUAACUGUGAAACUGCAUUGGAUACUAUCCGGCUUGAGGAAUGGAGGGGAGACUGGAAUACUUGGUGUAGCAGUGAAAUGCGUAGAUAUCAAGUGGAACACCAGUGGCGAAGGCGAGUCUCUGGACAUUUACUGACGCUGAGGCACGAAAGCCAGGGGAGCAAACGGG